rnacentral:rRNA from 1 species
GGUUGACCUCGGAUCAGGUAGGGAUACCCGCUGAACUUAAGCAUAUCAAUAAGCGGAGGAAAAGAAACCAACAGGGAUUGCCCCAGUAACGGCGAGUGAAGCGGCAAAGAGCUC